rnacentral:rRNA from 1 species
AGUGAACGCUGGCGGUAGGCCUAACACAUGCAAGUCGAACGGCAGCACAGUAAGAGCUUGCUCUUACGGGUGGCGAGUGGCGGACGGGUGAGGAAUACAUCGGAAUCUACUUUUUCGUGGGGGAUAACGUAGGUAAACUUACGCUAAUACCGCAUACGACCUACGGGUGAAAGCAGUGGAUCUUCGGACCUUGCGCGAUUGAAUGAGCCGAUGUCGGAUUAGCUGGUUGGCGGGGUAAAGGCCCACCAAGUCGAGGAUCCGUAGCUUGUCUGAGAGGAUGAUCAGCCACACUGGAACUGAGACACGGUCCAGACUCCUGCGGGAGGCCGCAGUGGGGAAUAUUGGACAAUGGGCGCAAGCCUGAUCCAGCCAUACCGCGUGGGUGAAGAAGGCCUUCGGGUUGUAAAGCCCUUUUGUUGGGAGAGAAAAGCAGCAGGUUAAUACCCCGCUGUUCUGACGGUACCCAAAGAAUAAGCACCGGCUAACUUCGUG